CGCGUCUGGGCUUCCCAGGGGCUGACAGAGAAGACGUGAGGAGCGCUGCAGUGUUCGCCGUAGUUCUAGGAAGUGCGACUCGGCUUUAAUCACCAGACGGAUUCCUGGAAUCGCCCUUCUGCUCCGCUCUGUUCGGCUGUUUCUUGGGAUUAGCGCCCUCCAGUCAGUCUGUCAGUCAGUCAGGUGUGCACCGCGGCGGGUCCUGUCGGGUGCCGUGGGCUUCAGAACAGGAGGAGUUCAAGUGGAGAGGGCCAGGCUGGCCGGCUGGCAGAGGAAGCAAAGGGAGAGCAGACAGCGACAGACUGAGGACCUGCCGGAGGGGACAGUAAGGAGUGGAGCCCUUCAGGAGAGUAGAAAAAAAUAAGCGAUCAGAGUGUCACCAGCCCAGUGCGAUACCAGUCACUUGCUGGGUCACUAUGGGGCACAGAGUCAACUGAUAACUCUACAUGUACCUGGAAUUCUUUGAAAGAUGGAAGAAGUACUGUAUAGCACAGAGAAAACCUACAGUACUUAGACACAGGGAGAGCAUGCAAACUCCACUCCGGCCUGGAAUUCGAAUCCAGGCUUUUGGGGCUCUGAAGCAGAACUGCUAUCCACUAUGCCACCUGGAAAGCUUUUAAAACUCAAUAAAAGUCUAACCGAUUGA